UACGUAGGGUGCGAGCGUUGUCCGGAAUUAUUGGGCGUAAAGGGCUCGUAGGCGGUUUGUCGCGUCGGGAGUGAAAUCCACUGGCUUAACUGGUGGCUUGCUUUCGAUACGGGCAGACUGGAGGCAUGCAGGGGAGAACGGAAUUCCUGGUGUAGCGGUGAAAUGCGCAGAUAUCAGGAGGAACACCGAUGGCGAAGGCAGGUCUCCGGGCCACUACUGACGCUGAGAAGCGAAAGCAUGGGGAGCGAACAGG
rnacentral:rRNA from 1 species